UGGGGAAUUUUGGACAAUGGGCGCAAGCCUGAUCCAGCCAUGCCGCGUGAGUGAAGAAGGCCAUCGGGUUGUAAAGCUCUUUGGCACGCGAAGAUAAUGACGGUAGCGGGAGAAGAAGCCCCGGCUAACUCCGAACCAGCAGCCGCGGUAAUACGGAGGGGGCUAGGGUUGUUCGGAAUUACUGGGCGUAGAGCGUACGUAGGCGGAUGCGCAAGUUGGGGGUGAAAUCCAGGGGCUUAACCUCGGAAUUGCCCUCAAAACUGCACGUCUUGAGACCGAGAGAGGUAAGGGGGAUUCCGAGUGUAAAGGUGAAAAUAGUAGAUAUCAGGAAGAACACCAGUGGCGAAGGCGCCUUACUGGCU
rnacentral:rRNA from 1 species